rnacentral:lncRNA from 1 species
GCUGUGAAAGUGAUGUCUACAUAUGUAAAGCAACUUUUAAAAUCCCUAUUAACCUGAAGGUUACUGAGGUGAGUGCAAACUAGGUAAGCCAACGAAUGGCAGGGCUUCAAAUUCUCCUUUUGUUGUUACAGCAUUUAUGGUAUUUUAAGAGCGUUUUAUGAACGAUGGAAGGCUGGAGUUGGUAACAUUCUGAGACGGGUGUAGCCUAGGGAAGAGUAAGGUGUCCGGCCGGGCUGUAUCUCGUGGGUGGCGAGGGAACAUUGCCUGUCUCGGAAACAGUUCCCAAGACAACGCGCAUCCCAGACGCC